UGGAUGAGUGGAUGUAUAGAGGAGCCACAUACCUUAAGGCACCCACGGGAACAACAUUGGCCACCAUGGACAGACAUCAACUAGGGCCCAUUGUUCAUUCCAAAUGCAGAUCUGACUCUGACUCUACUAUGCCCUCAACCAACAGGAAACCUACCAAGAGAGUAGUAAGAGAAAAAGAAUGCGGGUCAACCAAACAUCAGUUUUGUGCACCCAUAAUUAGGACUUGCUAAUAAUUUUUAGGGUAUAGUUGUGCUAGUAAUAUUCCCAAUUUCUUGCUAUCAAAUACUGUUAGUUGCUGUUAUUAGUUCUCUAUUAUUGUUCCGGUGGGAGCCCCUACACUAGAUUUCAUUUAUCAGCAAAAUCUUACUGUAUGAAUAAGCACGUUUAAUUCUUGAAUUUAAUAAAAUUCUGCAUUCUGACAAUUUUUA